rnacentral:rRNA from 1 species
CGGCACCUAUCUUCGGAUAGAAGCGAGUGGCGAACGGCUGAGUAACACGUGGAGAACCUGCCCCCUCCCCCGGGAUAGCCGCCCGAAAGGACGGGUAAUACCGGAUACCCCGGGGUGCCGCAUGGCACCCCGGCUAAAGCCCCGACGGAGGGGAUGGCUCCGCGGCCCAUCAGGUAGACGGCGGGGUGACGGCCCACCGUGCCGACAACGGGUAGCCGGGUUGAGAGACCGACCGGCCAGAUUGGGACUGAGACACGGCCCAG